AAAGGCAUGGUCCCGACCUUUCUAUCAGCUCUAACUCGACUUACACAUGCAAGUAUCCGCAACCCCGUGAAUACGCCCUUAAUCCCCCACACUGGGGACGAGGAGCGGGCAUCAGGAACAAAUAAUUUGACCCAUGACGCCUGGCCCAGCCACACCCCCAAGGGAAUUCAGCAGUGAUAAACAUUAAGCAAUAAGUGAAAACUUGACUUAAUUAGGGUUAAAAGGGCCGGUAAAAUUCGUGCCAGCAACCGCGGUUAUACGAAUGACCCUAGUUGAUAGCUCAACGGCGUAAAGGGUGGUUAAGGAUAAUAAAAAUAAAAUCAAAUGGCCCCUUGGCUGUUAUACGCUCCUGGAGGUCCGAAGCCCAUGCACGAAAGUAACUUUAAUUUAAUUACCUGAACCCACGAAAGCUAAGAAACAAACUGGGAUUAGAUACCCCACUAUGCUUAGCCGUAAACCAAGACAUUAACAUGUACAAUAAUGUUCGCCAGGGUACUACGAGCACUAGCUUAAAACCCAAAGGACUUGACGGUGCCUUAGACCCCCCUAGAGGAGCCUGUUCUAGAACCGAUAACCCCCGUUAGACCUCACCAUUUCUAGAUGCACCAGCCUAUAUACCGCCGUCGUCAGCUUACCCUGUGAAGGGGCAAAAGUAAGCAAAAGGAGUAGAACCCAAAACGUCAGGUCGAGGUGUAGCCAACGAAAUGGGAAGAAAUGGGCUACAUUUUCUAAUAAUAGAAUACUACGAACACGCAAAUGAAAUAGAACGCUUGAAGGAGGAUUUAGUAGUAAAAAGGAAAUAGAGUGUCCUUUUGAAUCCGGCCCUGAGGCACGUACACACCGCCCGUCACUCUCCCCGAACACUAUGCACACUAAUACAUAACAAAAAAGCACCAACAAGGGGAGGCAAGUCGUAACAAGGUAAGUGUACCGGAAGGUGCACUUGGACAAACCC
rnacentral:ncRNA from 1 species